UGAGUCUUUGUCAUGCACGCAAUGGUCCUCACCCGCGCGCGAAUGUACUGGGGUCCUGGGUCCGGCUUCCUUUGAUCUCGGUGCACGUGCACAGACGAAGUGCAUAAUAUGACGCAUGUGAAAUCAGCCAGCAUUUAUUGGACCGUGGGGGCCACUGGCAGCUACGGACCAAUUAUAACGAACUGAAAGCAUCAGCCGCUUUUGUACAACAUUUCGCGGAUUCCGUGAGAUAUUCGCUACCUUGCUUGGAGAGAUUCGGUUGGAUGAUACAGUAUUAAUGGUUAGUAACGGGAAGAUUCCAACGUGAGGAUUCCCCCGUGAUAAAUCAGUAUGGAUUGGACAGUGUCAGAAAGCACUUUGAGAGGAAUUGAAAGGCACUAUGCUGGUGAUCGGCAGGCCCGGACCAAGAGUAUAGGACACAUGACUGGUAAGUGGAGAUUCACACUGGCUCUGUCAUUUAUCACACACACACAAUAUUCCAUUCACGUUCUGUGACUGUCUCUCCCCCUCCCCCUCUCUCUCUCUCUCUCUCUUUCUUGCACUAAAAUUGACUUUUCACCCUCUCUUUCUAUCCUGCUGUUUUUCUCCCUUCCUGUUUGGUCAAACACACCUCUUACACCUCUCACUAUAUAACUCUUUUUAACUCUUUAUUUAUUAACCCACCCAGCCCAUACAAGGACAUGUCUAGACCAUACGGCUGUUAUUAAAGACACUUAACAACUAUUGCCUCUGUGAAUUACUCUUGAGUACAUAAAAGUGUUAGAAUGUGUUUGGAUGUGCCCCCUUCCUAGUUCCUGUGUGUACACGUUUGGCACAGUGCAGUCGUCAAUCAUAUGGGUGUUGUAUAAUUUCUCGUAGCCUGGCCUGGCCUGUGUACCAGCAGUUACACUUUAGGCCCGGGUCCAGGACAUCUUCUGUAGCCUAGCCUACACUCUACACAACGCAACGCUCUUUAAUAAUCUGUAAUGAGCUCCUACUGCGAUUUUAAAGAACUGUCAGACGUUUCAGCUCUGCCAAUGGUUCUGUGAUUAAGCCCCUCGGGACCUAACCCCGCAUCUCCCCACUCAUUCUAUACCCCCCUCCAAAAUCUGCCAAACACCCAUUCUCAAGGAACAAAACACACAUUAUUGUAUCCCUGUGUGGUUUUCCUGGGAAUGAUCCUGGUAUUUAGUCGUUUUAAAGAGAAGUUUGGCAUUAGGCCGUUUGGAGCAGUUUCAGCUGUAACGGACCAUACCAUGUUGGCUAAGUACUUAACAGGGCCCAGGGGUGAUACAGUGCAUUCAGAAAGUAUUCAGACCCCUUGACUUUUUCCAUAUUUUGUUACGUUACAGACUUAUUUUAAGACAUAUUAAAUUAAACAUGUUCCUCAUCAAUCAACAUACAAUACCCCAUAAUGACAAAGGGAAAACAGGUUUUGAGACAUUUUUGUACAUUUAUAAAAAAUAUAACACAGAAAAAAAACGUAUUUACCAAAGUAUUCAGACUCUUUGCUAUGAGACUCGAAAUUG
rnacentral:lncRNA from 13 species